rnacentral:lncRNA from 1 species
AGGGACUACUAUCACAAGUCUCAGUUUAAAACAUUCAAAGGUUUUUUUUCUGCUUUUGAGGUCUUUAGUAGUUCUUCUUUUACUUCUUUGCUCUUAUACAUUAAAACUAAAAGAUCAUGGCAAUUCUUCGUAUAAUCAAGAAGUCUUCCACAAGUGGAGAUGUUCGUACAUUAAAACUAAAAGAUUAUGGCAAUUCUUCGUAUAAUCAAGAAGUCUUCCACACGUGGAGAUGUUCCCAAAGGCCAUUUUGCUGUGUAUGUUGGGGAGAAGCAGAAGAAGAGAUUUG